rnacentral:rRNA from 1 species
GUUAUUAAAAACAUGGCUUUUUGAAAAUAAUUUAAGGUCUAACCUGCCCAAUGAAAAAUUCAAUGGCCGCAGUAUUUUAACUGUGCAAAGGUAGCAUAAUCAUUAGUUUCUUAAUUAGGGGCUUGUAUGAAGGGUUGAAUGAAAAAAUAGCUGUCUCUAUUUAAAUUAAUUAGAAUUUUAUUUUUAAGUUAAAAAGCUUAAAUUUGUAUUGAAGACGAGAAGACCCUAUAGAGUUUAAUAUUAAAAUUAUCUUGAAUUUUUAGUAUUUAAAAAUCUUGGUUUAUUUAGUAUUUGAUUGGGGUGAUUAAGAAAUUAAUUGAACUUUCUUUUUAUCUAAUCAUUGAUUUAUGAAUAAUUGAUCCUUUUUAAAAGAUUAUAAGAUAAAAUUACCUUAGGGAUAACAGCGUAAUUUUUUUUAAGAGCUCUAAUCGAAAAAAAAGAUUGCGACCUCGAUGUUGGAUUAAAAUGAAAUUUUGGCGUAGCAGUUAAAAGUUUUGGGUCUGUUCGACCUUUAAAAUUUUACAUGAUCUGAGUUUAAACCGGUAUGAGCCAGGU